GUGGGGAAUAUUGGACAAUGGGCGCAAGCCUGAUCCAGCCAUGCCGCGUGAGUGAUGAAGGCCUUAGGGUUGUAAAGCUCUUUCAGUAGGGAAGAUAAUGACGGUACCUACAGAAGAAGCCCCGGCUAACUUCGUGCCAGCAGCCGCGGUAAUACGAAGGGGGCUAGCGUUGUUCGGAUUUACUGGGCGUAAAGCGCACGUAGGCGGAUUGGUCAGUUAGAGGUGAAAUCCCGAAGCUCAACUUCGGAACUGCCUUUAAUACUGCCAGUCUCGAGUCCGGAAGAGGUGAGUGGAACUCCUAGUGUAGAGGUGGGAUUCGUAGAUAUUCGGAGGAACACCAGUGGCGAAGGCGGCUUACUGGUCCAUUACUGACGCUGAGGUGCGAAAGCGUGGGGAGCAAACAGGAUUAGAAACCCUGGUAGUCC
rnacentral:rRNA from 1 species